UUGAUCCUGGCUCAGAAUCAACGCUGGCGGCGUGCCUAACACAUGCAAGUCGAACGCGAAAGCCCCGCAAGGGGCAAGUAGAGUGGCAAACGGGUGAGUUACACGUGGGUGACCUGCCUUCGAGUGGGGGAUAACAUCCCGAAAGGGAUUCUAAUACCGCAUGACAUCCUGCCUUUGAACAGGCGGAGAUCAAAGCUGGUGAUCGCAAGACCUGGCGCUCAAAGAGGGGCCCGCGCCUGAUUAGCUAGUUGGUGGGGUAAUGGCUCACCAAGGCAUCGAUCAGUAUCCGGCCUGAGAGGUCGGACGGACACACUAGGACUGAGACACGGCCCAGACUCCUACGGGAGGCUGCAGUGGGGAAUUGUUCGCAAUGGGCGCAAGCCUGACGACGCAACGCCGUGUGGAGGAUGAAGACCUUCGGGUCGUAAACUCCUUUCGAUCGAGACGAAUGGCCCCUGGGUUAAUAGCCUAGGGGAAUGACGGUACCGAGAGAAGAAGCUCCGGCUAACUCCGUGCCAGCAGCCGCGGUAAUAAGGU
rnacentral:rRNA from 1 species